rfam:Candidatus Gottesmanbacteria bacterium RIFCSPLOWO2_01_FTLL_43_11b rifcsplowo2_01_scaffold_30, whole genome shotgun sequence.
UUUUUUGAGAGUUUGAUCCUGGCUCAGGAUGAACGCUGGCGGCGUGCCUUAGGCAUGCAAGUUGAACGGUCGAAAGAUUAGUGGCGGACGGGUGAGUAUAAGCAAGGAACGUACCUUUUUCUGGAACAUAGCUCGUCGAAAGACGGGGUAAUAUUCCAUGAGGUCGUAAGAUCAAAGUGCGUAACGGCACGGAGGAAGAGCGGCCUUGCUCCUAUCAGCUUGUUGGUGGGGUAAUGGCCUACCAAGGCGAUGACGGGUAGGGGGCGUGAGAGCGCGACCCCCCACAAUAGCACUGAGACACGGGCUAUACAUCUACGGAUGGCAGCAACUAGGAAUAUUCGGCAAUGGGCGAAAGCCUGACCGAGCGACGCCGCGUGAGGGAUGAAGUAUUUCGGUAUGUAAACCUCUUUUGCCAGAUCAUCGAGGUUUGGCGAAUAAGCACCUACAAACUACGUGAUUCGAUGUAAUCGGAUGGUGCGUAGUUACUGUAGUAAUACGGUAAAAGAAAAUCUCGCUAUAUGCUGGAACACCUUGAUAUGUCCGCGAAAUAGUUUUGCGAAAGCAAGCAUGUAUCAAGACAAUCAGCAGGCAACCUCCGCCUUCAUUUAUAAUGAAAGGAUGGCGGGGAGAGUCCUCAGAGACUACACGCGAGACCCCCAAUCUGUGGGGUGAUGAUAUAGUCCAAAGUUCGCUACAAAAAAUUGUGGCGGGCCAGCAGUCGCGGUAAUACGUAGGGUGCAAGCGUUAUCCGGAUUCACUGGGCGUAAAGUGUCGUGUAGGCGGAUUUCCGCAUCGAACCUGAAAGCCCGAGGCUUAACCUCGGCGUUGGGUUCGAGAUGGGGAGUCUUUGAGGAUGGGAGAGGAAAGGGGAACUCAUGGUGAAGCAGUGAAAUGCGUUGAUAUCAUGAGGAACACCAAAGGCGAAGGCACCUUUCUGGCCCACACCUAACGCUGAGACACGAAAGCUAGGGGAGCGAAGCAGAUUAGAGACCUGCGUAGUCCUAGCCCUAAACGCAUGUCUGCUAGUUGGUCCGCCGCAAGGGGGACUGACGUAAGCUAACGCGUUAAGCAGACCGCCUGGGGAGUACGAUCGCAAGAUUAAAACUCAAAGGAAUUGACGGGGACCCGCACAACCGGUGGAGCGUGUGGUUCAAUUCGAGACAAAGCGAAAAACCUUACCAGGGUUUGACAUGGUACCGUUUUAACCCGCUAGAAAUAGUAGGCUAUCCGCAAGGAUGGUAUCACAGCUGCUGCAUGGCUGUCGUCAGCUCGUGCCGUGGGGUGUUCCUUUAAGUAGGAGAACGAGCGCAACCCGUAUCCGAUGUUAUAAGUGUCAUCGGAGACUGCCCCGAUAUGUAUCGGGGAGGAAGGAACGGACGACGUCAAGUCAGCACGGCGCUUAUACCCUGGGUAACACACACCCUACAAUGGCGAAAAACAAUGGGAUGCAAACUAGUAAUGGCAAGCAAAUCCCUGAAAUUUCGCCUCAGUUCAGAUUGAGGGCUGCAACCCGCCCUCAUGAAGUCGGAAUCGGUAGUAAUCGCAGAUCAGAAGGCUGCGGUGAAUACGUUCUCGGGUCUUGUACACACCGCCCGUCAAGCCAACAAAGUUGGGGGCGGCUGAAGGCCGUUUUUACGGUCGAAGCCGAACUCAGCGAUGGGGACUAAGUCGUAAGUUUGUUGCGACCCAUAUCCGUAAGGGUAUGGGAAAAUCCAACUGU